AGAGCUGACAUCUGAGCCGUAAGUCUGAAGGGCCAAGCAAAGCAUCCCAUAGGGAAGUCUCUUGAAUUUUCUAUAGCCACAGAGAACAUCAAAUUUUCUCC